rnacentral:lncRNA from 1 species
AAAAAAAAAAAAAGGUGAACUGCGCGCAUGUUACAAAAUAAUUCAAGGAAAAUCUCAUGUUUACUUUGGUUAUGAUUUGAAUAAUAGAAUUAAUGAGAUAAUUUUCUAAUGUUUAUAGUUUUGAUCUUUGUUUGUUAAGAAGAGAGAUAUACUAGAAUAAUUUAACUUGUUUUUGAAUAUUUGUAUCUCAAUUUGUAUUUUGAGUAGGCAAAACUCCUACAUUGACAAUAUGAGUUGGAGCUUAGAGUUCAUGGAUAAUGACUAGGCACUUUUAGUACGAUUUCGUAUGAGAAAGGUGAGCUUGAGACAUUUUGGUACCUGUGGAAUUUCACUGGGUAUGCUGUCGCCUGUUGUUGUUGUGUGAUCCCAACAAAAGAAUAUGAGUACUAGUCGGUUUCUACUUGUUUUGCCUCCGGGGUUAUUAUUUGUGUGUAUGAUAUUUUAUUUUACUAUGUUUUGAAAGUACAUUUAUAGUCCUUUUCAUGUUAUUUAGACCGAGUUUGUGCAGUUGAAUUGCUUACAAUCUCGUUUUCAUAUGUUAGGCAACUUUAUUUUGCCCACCGCUACUACGAAAAUUGUUUUUGCUUUCUUUUUCUCUGACUAUUAAAGAUAUUUCAGUUCGUCAAAUUGUAUUUUGUUUGCCCAUGGAUUCAUCGACAAUUCGAAAAAAUUGCCUCACUGGGAAAUCUCCGAAUGAGAAUAUAAGUGUCGGUACCAUUAUGAUGAGUGUAAAAUUUACACUAUCCACAAGAGAUUAAAUUUCAUCUUUAAUCAAGAGGAUUUAAAUAUGAGAUACUCAAUUAGUAGCUAUUUUUAAUCAUCGAAGAAAGAAGAAUGUUGUGCUAGGUAUAUUAAGCCAAAAGUUUAUUCGCAACUUGAAUUGUAUUACAAUUGAUGUGUGGCUAUUAGCCAUGGAGAUACAAAACUGAGCAACUAUGAUAGAUUGGAUCAUAUUGCUAUAAUGCCUAGCAGGAUACUUUUUUCUUGAGAAUUUUUUUUUUAUAUAUAGAAGAGUAGAUUGUUUGUUACAAGUCAUAACAAUAUUUAUAGAUUUUAAUGUAAGGAAAAGGACACCAUGUAGCUCUUUAAAAAAAUAAUGGACAAUAAUGACCCACGUUUCACUUUUUGGACAAUAAUGUGUAUAAAAACUGUAUAUUUAAGGUUUGUAUAUGAUGUGUAUAAAAAUUGUAUAUUUAAUGUUUGUAUAUGAUGUGUAUAAAAACUGCAUAAAUAUUUAAGGUUUAUAUAUGAUGUGUAUAAAACUGUAUAAGAACUAUAUAUUUAAGGUUUGUAUAUGAUGUGUAUAAAAACUGUAUAUUUAAGGUUUGUAUAUGAUGUGUAUACAAACUGUAUAUUUAAUGUUUGCAUAUGAUGUGUAUAAAAACUGUAUAAGAACUGUAUAUUUAAGAUUUGUAUAUGAUGUGUAUAAAAACUGUAUAAAAACUGCAUAUUUAAGGUUUGUAUAUGAUGUGUAUAAAAAAUGUAUAAAAAUUGUAUAUUUAAGAUUUGUAUAUAAUGUGUAUAAAAACUGUAUUAUAUAGAAUAUAUUUUCUAUAUAUGAUCUAUAUAGAAUUUGUAUCAAUGCUGUAUAGAAUAUGUAUAUCGAUAGGAUGUAUAUAAACUGCAUAAAUAUUGUAUAGAGUUUGUAUCUAAAUGAUUAUUUUACCUAAAUUAAUGUACAGAAUGUGUAUAACCUCUUGGCAAAAAUAAAAGACACGAAAAUAGUUAUAAAACAUGUAUGUGAGUCAUUAAAAUAUGCUAUUUUUAAAAAAUUGUAUUUCAAAAAAAUACAAAAUUUUAUUUGGUUACGACAUUAUAAAUUAGUAUUUGAUUAUUUUAAAAGAAAACUACAAAAUUUUAUUUGAUUAUUUUGUUUAUUGAUAGUAUUAAAAAAAUAUACAAAAACAUCAGUAAAAAAAUGAGCACAACCAAAAUAAAAGGGAAAAGGAAGAAAACAUAACUACCAGGAAAACAAAAAAAAAGACAACGAAAAAAUAACACAAAAAUAAAUAUAAUAUUAUAAAUUUUUAUUUUACAAAACUAUAAAAUUUUAUUUAGUUAUGAUAUUAUAAAUCUGUAUUUGAUUAUUUUAUUAAUAGAAUUAAAAAAUAAAUAAAAUAUUACUUUUUUAGAAAAAUAAUGAGCACAACCAAAAAAGGGGAAAAGGGAAGAAAACACAAGGAGCAGAAAAAAAAACAUUGAAGGCAAAUUUAUUAAAUGAUCAGUGGUCCAAAAUAAUAGAGAACAAUUUUUUUUAAAAAAAAUUAAUAGAGAGCAAUUUUUUUUCCUUUUUAAUAGAAAUAGCAGUGGUCCAACAAAAGAGAUGGCCGCCUAAUUAGCCAAUAAAAUGGCUACUAUUUGAAAUUUUGAAACAAUGACCAUUUCGGUGUCAUUUGUUUUGGUCGAGUGGCCAUUUAUGUCUUUUACCCUUUAAUGUUUAACAAAAGCUUUUUAACAAAGAAAAUUAAAAUAGUAAAAACAAUACUUUUUAUUUAUUAAAAGCAUUUCUUUAAAAAAAGUGGUCUGUUAAUAAAAGGAUAUCAGUCACCUCUGAGUUCUCUGUAAAAUGAUUUAUUUUGCUGAUUUAAAAUUAAAGCUGCGUCUUUUUAUUUUAUAGUCUAUUCUUUUUCUUUUUCUUUCUUCAACAAGUCAGAAAUCAUAUGCUGAUUGAAACACAAAAUUAUCCAAUUUUUUUGGUCUUUAAAGGUAAAAAAAACCCAUUAAAAUGGAGAUUUACGAAUCAUAAUUGCAAUGGAAGUUAUUAAAAAAAAAUGAAGAGCAUUAUUACUUUUUGCAAUAUUGAAGGUGAUAGUUUACAUUCUAUCAUGAUACGAUAUGGAAGAAAUUAGAGAAAAAAAUUCAACUAUAUAUUUUUGUAUGAAGUUGAUAUGUUUAUUGUUUUUCUAAUUGUGGUAUCAGUUUGUUUGGAAGAAAAUUAAUUUUAACUGUCUGAAAUCUGUGUACAAAUUAAUAACUAUAAAUUAUGGUAUUCUAAUUUUCGUGAUACCAUUUUAUCUACACAUUUCAUACAUCAUGUGCUUAAUUCUUGAAUCAAAAUCUCAUCUCAGAAAAUGGAGAGACGAGUGUGUGUGUGGAGUAGGGAGGGGGCCGGGGGAUCUAGAAUAUGUAUAACAAAAUAGGAGAAAUUAAAAUAAAGGAAAGAGAUGAAGAGUAUUAAAAAAAUUGUGUAUUUAGGGAAUUUCUUUUUAAAUUAUUACAAGAAAAGAGUUAUUUAAGGAAAAUAUAAACACAAUUAUUUAGGAGGGAUAUUAAUAUAUGUGUGUUAUUGAAAAAAUAAAUAAAUGAAAAAUUUAAGGAGAGAGAGAGAAAUCAAAUAAAUUGAUCAAUUUUUAAAAUUAAAUAAAAAAUAAAAUUAAGUACUGAUUAAGUCAGUCAAAAUUUAAGCUAAUUAGAUGAGAGAGAUUAAUUACAAGAUAUACAAACUAUGAUCUUUGUAUAUGAGGGUCCACUAAAACAAUAGUUCUAUAAUUAUCUUUUGACUAUAUCGUGUAAUUAUAUUAAAUAUUAACCAUGAUAGAUAAUUAAGGACCCGUUUUAUCUAUGCUAUACAAUUUUUCCUUUGUUUUGUUUUUGAGUUUUGGGAGUUAAGCGCACUUUAUUUUUUUGUUUUAAUAUUAAUAAGGUAAUAAUAAGUGUCUUGACCGUAAUCCUUAAUUAAAGUGAAAAUUAGUUUAGGUUUUACGGAUGUUUGUUGCAUGUUAUACGUGUACUUGUUCAUAAUAUAAAAUUUAGUUUUUAAUUGCAAGUCGUAGCAGUUUUGAUAAAAUAUUAUUACAAAUAUUUUUUAAAAAAAAUGGUCGUGUACAGAUAUAUAUAGGAGACCUCUAAGGCAUGCUACAUAGGAUGGGCUAAGAGUCACCUUUAUAUAUAUACUAUUCGGCUUACGCCGUGCUACGCACGCCCCAAUGUUGAUCCUUAAAAAUCCUACAUUAUGUAUAAUUCUAUCAUUUAAUUAAAAUCUUAUUUGUUUGGUUGAUAAAUUCUAAGUUAGACAUAUAUUAUUAUAUUUAAAUUGAUGAAAUUUAUAUAACAAUAUUUUAGGUUGUUCAAACUUCUGUGGCAUUGAUAGUCAAUUAUUUUUUUUAAAUAAUCUAAGUUUUUAAUUAUUGUAAUUUAUAAUAUUUUUCUUCUAUUCUACUAAUUAAAAGUGACAUAGUAAAAUUAUUAUAGCAAAUGCUUGUGAAAUUUUGUUUAAGUGGUCCCAUAUAAGAUGUCAAGUUAAUUUAAAACAUCAAAAAAUAUUUUAUUAUUGUAUGCCUAUUUUAUCUCUUUUUAUUAAAUAUUAUUAAUUCUUUAAUACUUAAAUGAAUUAUAAAAACAUCAAAAAAUAAUUUAUUAUUUUGUGUCUAUUUUAUUUUUUUAUUAAAUAUUUUUUAAUACUUAAAUGACUUAUAAUAAUUAAUUAUGAGUGAUAUAGUAAAAUCAAUGUUGGAGCAGCUGAAACAGUCAUGUCAUAAAUGUCUGUUGUAUUUUUUAUUAAGUAAUUUUUUUAAUACGUAAAUGACUUAUAAAUAUUAAUUAGGGGUAAUAUAGUAAAAUCACGAUUGAGGCAGCUGAAGCUGAAGAAGACAUGUCGACCAUGAGCAUCCUACUUCAGCUGCUUAUUGUGACUUAUAUAUAUAUAUAUAUAUUACGAAUAGGUCUUUCUAAUGAUAAAUAAGUAUGGACUCAUUCGCUCAUAGAAAAUGAGAUCAACUCCCCCAUUGCGUAUUGGUACUUAUCGAGUAUAGAAUAAAUCUGCUUCUCUUUGUUCCUACGAACAGAAUUGUUCCAUUAUUACCACCAGAAUAGAACACCCUUGAUUCGGAAAUAAUCGACUGAACAAGAGUGGUCCAUAGGAUAGUCAUAUUAUAGUCUUUUCCAAUGCAAUAAAGUUACGUAGUGUCCAUUUAUCUUUGAUAUAAGGGGUAUUUCCAUGGGUUUGCCUUGGUAUCGUGUUCAUACCGUUGUAUUGAAUGAUCCCGGUCGGUUGCUUUCUG